CCAUUUGGUCAUCCGAUCAUACUACUUCUGUGUAUUCCCACUUUCAUAUCCGCUCCCUUCACACUGGGGGCAUUUUAGAGAGGCCGAUCACCCUCCAAACCCGCAUGUCCUUGAGAUGUGGGAGGAAACCGGAACACCGGGAGUUAACCCACACAGUCACAGGGAGAACGUGCAAACCCC